rnacentral:rRNA from 2 species
AACGAACGCUGGCGGCGUGCUUAACACAUGCAAGUCGAACGGGAUCCAGAGCUUGCUCUGGUGAGAGUGGCGCACGGGUGAGUAACGCGUGGAUAACCUGCCCUGGUAUCUGGAAUAACAUCUCGAAAGGGGUGCUAAUACCGGAUAAGCCUACGGAGCCUUCGGUCUCUGCAGGAAAAGGUGGCCUCUAUUUAUAAGCUACCGUAUCAGGAUGGGUCCGCGUACCAUUAGCUAGUUGGUAGGGUAAUGGCCUACCAAGGCUACGAUGGUUAGCUGGUCUGAGAGGAUGAUCAGCCACACUGGAACUGAGACACGGUCCAGACUCCUACGGGAGGCAGCAGUGGGGAAUUUUGCGCAAUGGGGGAAACCCUGACGCAGCAACGCCGCGUGAGUGAUGAAGGCUUUCGGGUCGUAAAGCUCUGUCAGAAGGGAAGAAAUGAGACGUGCUAAUAUCACGUUUUCUUGACGGUACCUUCAAAGGAAGCACCGGCUAACUCCGUGCCAGCAGCCGCGGUAAUACGGAGGGUGCAAGCGUUGUUCGGAUUUAUUGGGCGUAAAGCGCGUGUAGGCGGUUUCUUAAGUCUGAUGUGAAAGCCCUGGGCUCAACCCAGGAAGUGCAUUGGAUACUGGGAGACUUGAAUACGGGAGAGGGUAGUGGAAUUCCUAGUGUAGGAGUGAAAUCCGUAGAUAUUAGGAGGAACACCGGUGGCGAAGGCGGCUACCUGGACCGAUAUUGACGC